UUUCCGUAGGUGAACCUGCGGAAGGAUCAUUAAAGAGAGUAUGACCUUCGGGGUAGAUCUCCCACCCUUUGUUUAUAUUACCUUUGUUGCUUUGGCAGGCCCGUCUUCGGACCACCGGCUUCGGCUGGUCAGUGCUUGCCAGAGGACCCAAAACUCUUAUUAUUAAUGUCGUCUGAGUACUAUAUAAUAGUUAAAACUUUCAACAACGGAUCUCUUGGUUCUG
rnacentral:misc_RNA from 1 species